GAUGAACGCUGGCGGCGUGCUUAACACAUGCAAGUCGAACGGUGAAGGCGGAGCUUGCUCUGCUGGAUCAGUGGCGAACGGGUGAGUAACACGUGAGCAAUCUGCCCCUGACUCUGGGAUAAGCGCUGGAAACGGCGUCUAAUACUGGAUACGAGCUGCGAAGGCAUCUUCAGCAGCUGGAAAGAACUUCGGUCAGGGAUGGGCUCGCGGCCUAUCAGCUUGUUGGUGAGGUAACGGCUCACCAAGGCGUCGACGGGUAGCCGGCCUGAGAGGGUGACCGGCCACACUGGGACUGAGACACGGACCAGACUCCUACGGGAGGCAGCAGUGGGGAAUAUUGCACAAUGGGCGAAAGCCUGAUGCAGCAACGCCGCGUGAGGGACGACGGCCUUCGGGUUGUAAACCUCUUUUAGCAGGGAAGAAGCGAAAGUGACGGUACCUGCAGAAAAAGCGCCGGCUAACUACGUG
rnacentral:rRNA from 1 species